rnacentral:ncRNA from 1 species
GGGAGCCGGAUGCAGUGAAAGCGGCACGUCCGGAUCUAACAGAGAGAUGCGCGGGAUAAUACCCGCCAUCGACUCUAC